GACGGAGGUGCCGAGCGUUAGGCGGAAUCACUGAGCUUAAAGCGUGUGUAGGCGGAGUGCUAAGUACCUUGUGAAAUCCCACGGCUUAACCGUGGAACUGCUUGGUAUACUGGUUCUCUUGGGUCAUCUAGGGGCGAGCGGAACAAACGGUGGAGCGGUGAAAUGCGUAGAUAUCGUUUGGAACGCCAAUGGUGAAAACAGCUCGCUGGGGAUGCACCGACGCUGAGACACGAAAGCCAGGGGAGCGAACGGG
rnacentral:rRNA from 1 species